GCAGACUGGACUGAACCGGGGGUACACGUGACAGCCUGCUGUCGUCUGAGAAAGCAGGCGUCUCUUGACAAGCAUGGGUUUUAUCCUGGAUCUGUGACUCACCAGUUGGACAGCAGGCGCCGGCACCACUCGUUUUCUUCGUGCCACGGUGCUGGCGGACAUCGGCAGGUUUUCCCGGCUGGAGCAGUCUUCUUGGUUGCGGUUUAGUUUAAGCUCCUCCCCGGCAUCUGCUGCUGCAGGAAGCGCCGUGUUUAAGUCCUGAUGUGCUGAUCUGGAACCAGCGUUAGCCUCCAUACAGACGCUCCAAACUUUCGUAGUCUCUUUUACAGCCUGUGGGAGGCGCUCUAGACCUCGACACGAAGACGUGGCCAGAGGCUACUAUUAUUGGGAGAGUCAAGGAGGCGCCCCCUGGUGGUGGAGAUCCUCCGUCAGCGCCAUAUCGCCACAGUUUGAUAAAGAAAAAAGAAAAAGUACCUCAGGCCGCAUUACAAUAUUAAGACAGCGAUGCCUCUUCGUAGGAUGUCAACCACCAAUGAUGCACAUACAACAGCGUCUCUCCACGUCUUUUUAAUGGGGGACGAUACUAAACUAAAG